rnacentral:rRNA from 1 species
UACGGAGGGUGCAAGCGUUGUCCGGAUUUAUUGGGUUUAAAGGGUGCGUAGGCGGCCCGUUAAGUCAGUGGUGAAAGCCUCCAGCUCAACUGGAGAACUGCCAUUGAUACUGGCGGGCUUGAGUACAGACGAGGUAGGCGGAAUUGAUUGUGUAGCGGUGAAAUGCAUAGAUACAAUCAAGAACACCGAUUGCGUAGGCAGCUUACUAGGCUGUAACUGACGCUGAGGCACGAAGGUCAGGGGAGCAAACGGG